CCGUUCUCAACGGGGUGCGAAAAAACCAGGGCAAUAACCGGCCCGCAGCACAGGCAGUCAGUAACAGAAAGGCAGUGCACAGAACCGCAGCAGACUGGCUGAUACGGAUACUGAGCGAUGCCCGACCUUAGCCGACGCCACGCGUUUUUUUCGCUGAGACAGACCCGUCGAACCUGAUCCGGCUAAUACCGGCGUAGGGAUUUGAGAGUUGUGCCUGC
rnacentral:ncRNA from 1 species